UUUCCCCCAGCAACUUCCUGUUUGAAAUUCAAACUAAGAACACUUGUUUAGUUUCACUAGGAUUACGACCUCCAUUUAGGUGCGUUAAUAUGAUAUUAAAUAAGUAAAAUUAAAUAAAUCAUUAGAUUUCAUCUUUUAUUUAAUCUAUCAUUUAGUGCCAUCUAAACUGAGGUUGUAACUAUAGUGGGGUUGCAUAACAUUAUUUUUAAACUUCAAUCGUUUUCUAUCGAAAAUAAAUGGGGCUAUUAGCCUCCAUUUUUCUGAUAUUCUUCUAUAUUAGAAUAUUGGAAUUUGUGUAAAAUUGAAGUGUACUUACAUGUUACGUAUUGUAGUAGAAAUCUCUCGAUAAAUCUUGAUUUCGGGUUUAGAAAACAAUAAAAAGAACACUGGUUUACCUUGGCUCGAUCCGAGACUUUCACCUUCACUUUGGACUGCUCUCUUUCUCUCUAACCCUACAAAGGAGAAGGGUGGUGGUGUUAGCAAUCCACAAAGGUAUGGAGAGGGAGAAGAACACUGGUUGAAUCUCACUCACAACCUCACAUGGCUUCCAUCUCUCUCGGUUGCCUCUCUUCUCUCAACUUUCCUCUCCAUUGUUACAACACACACACACCACCAAAAACGGUUGGGAGAUAAAUACAUAUAUAUAGGUUAGUUUAUGUCACUCUAAUUGGGCCUAGGGUUCACUAAGCGGGCUACCAAUUAACCUAAACUAAUGGGCCAAUAUUCAACUCCAUAUUAAUCACUAAAUGAUCCAACUAACCAAAUAAUCAUCCAACUCAAACCCGAACCAUCCAAAAGUGUAGUUCAUCUCCGAGUCGAGCCAAGUCCAUGGUGUCGAUAAAUAAUCCGACAACUGUUUUAAAUCAUCGCCCGGGAUUAUUGGGUAUCAAAAACCCAACAAUCUCCACCUUGAUGCCCAAUAAUCUGCAAGUAACCAAAACACAAAGUUUAAACUUGCACAAUCAAGGUAAUCCAAUAAAAUUGGUAUCUCAGACCUUACCUCGUGUUUCGAACCGAAACAUACACCAUACCUGCUUCAUAUACUCAUCGGGGCUAAGGUCCAAAAAAUACCUAGGUAGAAACAAGUACUUACAGUGAACAACUAAUCAAGCGAUAAAGAUAUUAUAUAGGAUACAUCACACAGAUCUUUUUAAAUUCACGUUCACACAGAACCACCGAUUAACACCAAAUUAAUCAGCACAUGAUCAAACGCAUAUGCAAAACAUGCAUAAAUGACCUCAUGAAAGAUCUCACCACACUUAACCUAUCCCAUUUCGAGUUACUCCCACCUCAAGAACACAUAUCUCCUCUCAUCGCCCACCAUGCUCACUAAAUAGAUCACACAACUCAUGUCAAAAUGACAAGUCACAAUAGAUCCUAAACUUUCGGGAUAAUCCUCUAUCACCACAUCACUUCUUUCAACUUACGUGGAUAAUGGGACUCCACCUUACAGAAGUGAUAGAAGUGCCUCUCUUACACUCCACCUGUACAGGGUCUCUUUCACAGAUAAAUGAUUCUAUACAUUUGAUCACAUCUCCACUCGUGAUCCAAAUGUCACACUCUACAUCCUUCGGUACAAAUCACCAUGUACCCCUAGGCAUAUAUACUCCACCUUACCAAAAGACAUCCAACUCACUACUAAUGCAUUUCAAACUCACUAUGGCAAAUCAACACCUUUCGGUGACCACAAAGGUUAAUCCAUUCACCAAUGCUCUCAAAAAUUCACAAAGAAAAUAGUGAAGGUGGCACUCUCAAAGAGAAUCGAAGAAAGAGUCAGUUACUUCACUACACUCACAAAAAAGAGGCUCACAAAGAUAAAGAAGGUAACCCUAACAUGACUGCCUCACAUAAUCUCACAAACUACACAGACUCACAAAGAUGAAGGAGAGAAACUUCUGCCCAACUUUCUUCUCACUACCACACUCUCACACCACUCAUAGAGCAAAUAGAGUACGCCACAAAUCUCAACCCACUAUGCAUGUAAACAUAUUACACAAUGUAAUAAGUCACACUAAUUCAUGCAAUUAUACACAUCAAAUAUAUUGAAAGUGUAACAUCAACAUUGCAACAUAAUUAAGUGAUCAUAUACAUGCAGAAAGGAUUACACACAGAUGCAAUGCAAGAAUCAGGUUUAUUCUCUCAAUAAACCUCAUUAGGAUCACAACUCGACCAUAAAGUCACAUUCGCCUUGUCUCUAUCCUCAUCUUUCCUUUUAUUAUCAUCGUAGGACAAUCUCUUUCAACUAUGUCCAAAUUUUACCACAAUUAAAAUAUAUGUUAUUUUUCGCACUUACCUUAGGCCUACAUUUGCCACCAAUGCCAAAUAAUGACCACAAGUAAAGUAUGAACAUAAUUCACAUAGAAUAGUCCACUAAACUUUCCUAACGCCACAUGCAAUUCUAAUAAUGUAGAAAAAUUGACAACAAAUUCACAAAGAAUUUAAGGCAAAUAAUUAACAAAUAAUUCCUAGGCCUAGCAACAGGCAAUGGUUACCCCUUCAUGGUAACUCCAAACAUAAUGUCACCCCACACGAUGACCUCUAAUGCAAAAAAUAAAUUACUCUACACAUAUAUUUCAACUGCAAUAAUAAAAAGCAAAGAAUACGAUACCGAGCGGACCACAUCUGAAGGUCCGUAAAUAUCAAGACAUGCGAAUUCACCACUUUCGGAAUAUCACUGGUCAUCCUAAAGUCAACAGCAAUCACAGCAACACGAAAACAGCACUCGGCACCUGAACGUCCAAGGGCAAAAUAGUCCAACUUUCACUAUAUUGCUCCAAAUUGAAAUCUGAAAACACUGCAAGGUCCAUCUCGACAUGGGGGAGAUUCUGUCUGAAGACCACUUUACUAGAUUCCGAAGGACGCGCCCUCACGUGCCAUUACCGGAGCCGCGUCGGCCACGCGCCGGCGACCUGUCACCCUUCCGACUUCUUCUCCGCCUGCACAGUCCACUGAUGGUGUCCGUUUUGCCAAACUCCUUUUGGUUUCACCAGAAAACGCCAAAACAGAUUCGGCAAAAAUUUGAAAAAAACCAAACAGUUUCUGCCUCUAAUUUUCAAAUCCGUUUUCGACCACUUCCAGCCCGUUUUUAGCCCCAAAACUCACAAAUUUAUCAGCAAUACAAACUCUGAUACCUUUUGUAGCGAAAAUCCCUCGAUAAAUCUUGAUUUCGGGCUCAGAAAACAAUCAAACGUAUACUAAUUUACCUUUGCUCGACCUGAGACUUUCACCUUCACUUUGGACUGCUCUCUUUCUCUCUAACCCCACAAAGGAUAAGGGUGGUGGUGUUAGCAAUCCAUAGAGGUAUGGAGAGGAAGAAGAACACUGGUUGAAUCUUACUCACAACCUCACAUGACUUCCCUCUCUCUCGGUUGCCUCUCUUCUCUCAACUCUCCUCUCCAUUACUACAACACACACACCACUAAAAACGGCUAGGAGAUAAAUACAUAUAUAUAGGUUAGUUUAUGUCACUCUAAUUGGGCCUAGGGUUCACUAAGCGGGCUACCAAUUAGCCUAAACUAAUGGGCCAAUAUUCAACUCCAUAUGAAUCACUAAAUGAUCCAACUAACCAAAUAAUCAUCCAACCCAAACCCGAACCAUCCAAAAGUGUAGUUCAUCUCCGAGUCGAGCCAAGUUUAUGAUGCCGAUAAAUAAUCUGACAACUGUUUUAAAUCAUCGUCCGAAAUUAUUGGGUAUCAAAAACCCAACACGUAUCAAUGAAGGUAAUUUUGUUUCAAUGGGACCAACUCAAUAAAAGAAGUUAGUGUCGAUUUUGAAAUAAUUCAUUUCUUAUCUGUUGGUAUUUCUCCACUUUGAAUGCACGCGUAUUGUUUUUAUCUUGUUUCUUCUCCUUCUCUGCAGCAAAAGAAAUUGAAGUUAAAAAAUUUAUAAAUGGUCCAACUUUUGAUUCACUCGUAAUUUCUCAAUCUUGUCCAAGACUUUGAAUUAUCAUGCUACAAAAUCCUAGCAGAAACUUUGCAUUAAAUACGUUUAAAAGUUGUUUAUUUUCAAAAAUCAAUUUGAAUUUACGGUUUGAAAGAAGUGAGAUUUGUUUAAGACAUUUUACUCCAUGCAUUAUUCUAAUUGACUUCGAUCUUCUAAGAUACUCCUUUCAAUCCAUAAAGAUGUCUCAAAUUAUAAGUAUCUUUCCUUAUUGAUUGAUAAUAUAGUUAAUUUCUUAGUAAUUUAAUAUACACUUAUUUAAUGCGCCUUGUCACCAACAAAUAUAAACAACUCAUGUUUAAACAAUUGUUUAAUGUAGGGAUAUAUUGGAAAAAAAUAACAAAAAUUUAUAUUUUCAAUUAUAUUUAUUACAGUUUCUUAAUCUAAAAGUGAAAAUGGAAACAAUCUUAUUUUUUGGUGGACCAUGCUAUACCACCACAAAGUUUGACACAUUGGUUGACAUAUCACAUUCAUAUAGGAGGUCGGCAUUAUUUUAUUCGUGCGGGACUCAACUGUGAGUGCUGUGUCAAACAAUGUGAUCGUUUGGCUUAAUCCAUUUUUUGGUGCAAGUGGAGUAUAUUAUUUCUAAGGGUCAUGCUACAUGGCCACAUUUGUUGACACAUCGGUUGACACAACACAUUCACAUGAGGAGGUCGGCAUUAUUUUAUUGGCGCGGGACCCAUACUUCGACUGUGAGAGAUGUGUCAACCUUUGUGUCAACAAAUGUGGUCAUUUGGCUUAACUCUAUUUCUAAUAUUAAUACAUCACAAUACCGUACUGUUGACUUCUAUUUCAAUUCAUUAAUGACCAGAAUUUAAAUAAUUGAUGCAUGGGAUAGAGUAGUAUAAAAUUAUAAUGCAUAACUCUAUUUCUAAUAUUAAUACAUCACAAUACCGUACUGUUGACUUCUAUUUCAAUUCAUUAAUGACCAGAAUUUAAAUAAUUGAUGCAUGGGAUAAAGUAGUAUAAAAUUAUAAUGCAUAACACUGAGUCCACAACGAUCAUUAUUUUUAAACUCUUUUCUAAAUAUUUAUUUUGAAUCACACAUUCACAUAGUAAAAUAUUAUAUAUGUGAAUUCAAAAAAAAAAAUCAUAAAUUUUAACUACACACUUUCCUAAAAAUCACUAUUCAAAACAUAGUUUCUCUCAUUUAAUGUUUGUCAAACAAGGGCUAGAUAGGUAAUAUUAUGAUGGAUUAAGAUAGAUGAUAGUUUUUAAAGUUUUCUUUCAAAGAGACAUUUAUACUAUUAAUCGUAUAAUUUUGUGCUAAACUCUUUAUGCAGUACAAUGAACAUGAUUUUUCUGUUUCAUUUCCUUAAUCUUGUCCCAUAUUAUGCAAUUAGCCAACUUGUACAUGCUAAUGAUCUCAUCUAUGGAUAUAUUCA
rnacentral:lncRNA from 1 species